rnacentral:rRNA from 1 species
ACGCUGGCGGCGUGCCUAAUACAUGCAAGUCGAGCGGAGAUUUGAAAAGCUUGCUUUUCAAAUCUUAGCGGCGGACGGGUGAGUAACACGUGGGCAACCUGCCCUUGAGACGGGGAUAACUCCGGGAAACCGGAGCUAAUACCGGAUAACACAUAUCUUCGCAUGAUGAUAUGUUAGAAGGUGGCUUUUAGCUACCACUCAAGGAUGGGCCCGCGGCGCAUUAGCUAGUUGGUGAGGUAACGGCUCACCAAGGCGACGAUGCGUAGCCGACCUGAGAGGGUGAUCGGCCACACUGGGACUGAGACACGGCCCAGACUCCUACGGGAGGCAGCAGUAGGGAAUCUUCCGCAAUGGACGAAAGUCUGACGGAGCAACGCCGCGUGAGUGAUGAAGGUUUUCGGAUCGUAAAGCUCUGUUGUUAGGGAAGAACAAGUAUCUGUUGAAUAAGCAGGUACCUUGACGGUACCUAACCAGAAAGCCACGGCUAACUACGUGCCAGCAGCCGCGGUAAUACGUAGGUGGCAAGCGUUGUCCGGAAUUAUUGGGCGUAAAGCGCGCGCAGGCGGUUCCUUAAGUCUGAUGUGAAAGCCCACGGCUCAACCGUGGAGGGUCAUUGGAAACUGGGGAACUUGAGUGCAGAAGAGGAGAGCGGAAUUCCACGUGUAGCGGUGAAAUGCGUAGAGAUGUGGAGGAACACCAGUGGCGAAGGCGGCUCUCUGGUCUGUAACUGACGCUGAGGCGCGAAAGCGUGGGGAGCGAACAGGAUUAGAUACCCUGGUAGUCCACGCCGUAAACGAUGAGUGCUAAGUGUUAGAGGGUUUCCGCCCUUUAGUGCUGCAGCAAACGCAUUAAGCACUCCGCCUGGGGAGUACGGUCGCAAGACUGAAACUCAAAGGAAUUGACGGGGACCCGCACAAGCGGUGGAGCAUGUGGUUUAAUUCGAAGCAACGCGAAGAACCUUACCAGGUCUUGACAUCCUCUGCUACUUCUAGAGAUAGAAGGUUCCCUUCGGGGACAGAGUGACAGGUGGUGCAUGGUUGUCGUCAGCUCGUGUCGUGAGAUGUUGGGUUAAGUCCCGCAACGAGCGCAACCCUUGAUCUUAGUUGCCAGCAUUCAGUUGGGCACUCUAAGGUGACUGCCGGUGACAAACCGGAGGAAGGUGGGGGGAUGACGUCAAAUCAUCAUGCCCCUUAUGACCUGGGCUACACACGUGCUACAAUGGAUGGUACAAAGGGCUGCAAAACCGCGAGGUUAAGCCAAUCCCAUAAAACCAUUCUCAGUUCGGAUUGUAGGCUGCAACUCGCCU